rnacentral:rRNA from 1 species
AGAAGUUGAUCCUUGGCUCAGGAUGAACGCUAGCGGCAGGCUUAACCCAUGCAAGUCGAGGGGCAGCAUGUCCAGCAAUGGAUGAUGGCGACCGGCGGAAGGGUGCGUAACGCGUAAGCAACAUGCCCUAUACAGGGAGAUACACCAGGGAAACUUGGUCUAAUAUCCCAUAGCAUUCAUUGAAGGCAUCUNUAAUGAAUUAAAGCUUCGGUGGUAUAGGAUUGGCUCGCGUGACAUUAGCCAGAUGGUGAGGUAACGGCUCACCAUAGCAAUGAUGUCUAGGGGUUUUGAGAGGAAGGCCCCCCACACUGGGACUGAGACACGGCCCAGACUCCUACGGGAGGCAGCAGUGAGGAAUAUUGGACAAUGGAUGGAAAUCUGAUCCAGCCAUGCCGCGUGCAGGAAGACGGCCUUAUGGGUUGUAAACUGCUUUUAUACGGGAGCAAUAAGGGUUACGAGUAAUCCGAUGAGAGUACUGUAUGAAUAAGGAUCGGCUAACUCCGUGCCAGCAGCCGCGGUAAUACGGAGGAUCCGAGCGUUAUCCGGAAUUAUUGGGUUUAAAGGGUGCGUAGGCGGCCAUUUAAGUCAGCGGUGAAAUUUUGCAGCUUAACUGUAACAGUGCCGUUGAUACUGUUUGGCUAGGAUUUGGUUGUAGUGUGCGGAAUGUGUGGUGUAGCGGUGAAAUGCUUAGAUAUCACACAGAACACCGAUUGCGAAGGCAGCACACUAAGUCAUUAUUGACGCUGAGGCACGAAAGUGUGGGGAUCAAACAGGAUUAGAUACCCUGGUAGUCCACACUGUAAACGAUGAUAACUCGCUGUCGGCGAUACACAGUCGGUGCCAAGCGAAAGC